AAAAAGAUAAGCUAAUUUUAAGCUAUUGGGUUCAUACUCCACUUAUAAAGGUUUUAGUCCUUUUCUUUUUA
rnacentral:tRNA from 1 species